GCGAGUGGCGAACGGGUGAGUAACACGUGGAUAACCUGCCUCAAGGCUGGGGAUAACAUUUGGAAACAGAUGCUAAUACCGAAUAAAACUUAGUAUCGCAUGAUAUCAAGUUAAAAGGCGCUACGGCGUCACCUAGAGAUGGAUCCGCGGUGCAUUAGUUAGUUGGUGGGGUAAAGGCUUACCAAGACGAUGAUGCAUAGCCGAGUUGAGAGACUGAUCGGCCACAUUGGGACUGAGACACGGCCCAAACUCCUACGGGAGGCUGCAGUAGGGAAUCUUCCACAAUGGGCGCAAGCCUGAUGGAGCAACGCCGCGUGUGUGAUGAAGGCUUUCGGGUCGUAAAGCACUGUUGUAUGGGAAGAAAUGCUAAAAUAGGGAAUGAUUUUAGUUUGACGGUACCAUACCAG
rnacentral:rRNA from 1 species